rnacentral:SRP_RNA from 1 species
UGGGUGAAAGAAAGCACUGCCAAAGCCAGCGCACGAGCUGAGCGGGACUCAAGCUGCGUCUCAAGACGCUCGCGCGCCCCAGCCUUUGCAGUGCUUUCUUUCACCCAGUCUCAGCUGAGACGCUGUUCUAGCAAGCCGUCCCUGAGGAUUCUGUUCCGGCUUGCUGAAACAGCGUCUCAGCUGAGACUGAGUGAAAGAAAGCACUGCAAAGGGUUGCGCGCGACUGUCUUGAGACGCGGCUUGAGUGCCACUCAGCUCGAGCGCUGGCUUU